UGGGGAAUAUUGGACAAUGGGCGCAAGCCUGAUCCAGCAAUGCCGCGUGGGUGAAGAAGGUCUUCGGAUUGUAAAGCCCUUUCGACGGGGACGAUGAUGACGGUACCCGUAGAAGAAGCCCCGGCUAACUUCGUGCCAGCAGCCGCGGUAAUACGAAGGGGGCUAGCGUUGCUCGGAAUGACUGGGCGUAAAGGGCGCGUAGGCGGAUGACACAGUCAGAUGUGAAAUUCCCGGGCUCAACCUGGGGGCUGCAUUUGAUACAUGUUGUCUUGAGUUCGGAAGAGGGUCGUGGAAUUCCCAGUGUAGAGGUGAAAUUCGUAGAUAUUGGGAAGAACACCGGUGGCGAAGGCGGCGACCUGGUCCGAUACUGACGCUGAGGCGCGAAAGCGUGGGGAGCAAACAGGAUUAGAUACCCGCGUAGUCC
rnacentral:rRNA from 1 species